rnacentral:lncRNA from 1 species
GAUGUGUACUCUGUUUACAUUACAGUUGUUUAUUAGUUUACUCGUUUGUUUUGCGACUGAUGAAAUGCCGGCAUAUAUAUAUUUUCAACAUCUGACAUAACCCUGUAUGUUUUGCAGGGACAACCCAGGACGUGCAUUUCUCAGCACCCAGUCAACUGCCAAAAGUGACUCAAACACAGGCCACCAGUGGAACUCGGCUGUACCACUGCAGUGCUGCGGAAAUUGCCUUCACCAGCGGCUUCGCAACAGCUGUUUCGCAGCAUGUCGGAGACAAUGCCUACGAAAUUAUUGGCCCUGAUCAUGAGAGCCCUCAAGGGGCAAACAACAUCUCUGUUGCAGAAGUGAGCCCGGUACCACUUGGAAGUUACCAUGACAGAUGACACGGCAGCAAUAGAUACAGAGACUGCCACGUCUACUGCAGCUGCAACAGUGUACGAGGCAAGCAGCAGCGCGUCAGCAGCAGUGUCAGAAGGAACCACACCAGGCCUGGUAGAGCAACAUGUGUGCUAUCACUGACUUUUUUUGUAGUGGAUACAACUCAUUUGCUCAACAUACAAAAGCUUUUCACCACGACUGUGAGCCAGUGUUAUUGUGCAGCAAGUGCAAGACU